rnacentral:rRNA from 1 species
AGUGAACGCUGGCGGUAGGCCUAACACAUGCAAGUCGAACGGCAGCACAGUAAGAGCUUGCUCUUACGGGUGGCGAGUGGCGGACGGGUGAGGAAUACAUCGGACUCUACUUUUUCGUGGGGGAUAACGUAGGGAAACUUACGCUAAUACCGCAUACGACCUACGGGUGAAAGCAGGGGAUCUUCGGACCUUGCGCGAUUGACUGAGCCGAUGUCGGAUUAGCUAGUUGGCGGGGUAAAGGCCCACCAAGGCGACGAUCCGUAGCUGGUCUGAGAGGAUGAACAGCCACACUGGAACUGAGACACGGUCCAGACUCCUACGGGAGGCAGCAGUGGGGAAUAUUGGACAAUGGGCGCAAGCCUGAUCCAGCCAUACCGCGUGGGUGAAGAAGGCCUUCGGGUUGUAAAGCCCUUUUGUUGGGAAAGAAAAGCAGCAGGUUAAUACCCCGCUGUUCUGACGGUACCCAAAGAAUAAGCACCGGCUAACUUCGUG